UACGGAGGGUGCUAGCGUUGUUCGGAAUUACUGGGCGUAAAGGGCGCGUAGGCGGCCGUUUGCGUCGGAUGUGAAAGCCCGGGGCUCAACCUCGGAACGGCAUUCGAUACGGGACGGCUGGAGACCGGGAGAGGAGAGUGGAAUAGCCAGUGUAGAGGUGAAAUUCGUAGAUAUUGGCUGGAACACCGGUGGCGAAAGCGGCUCUCUGGCCCGGUUCUGACGCUGAGGCGCGAAAGCGUGGGGAGCAAAC
rnacentral:rRNA from 1 species